rnacentral:sRNA from 1 species
CCGGUGUCGUCUUACUAGCUGCAAGCCUCUGCCUGCCUUCCUGCGCGCCGUUCCCCGCUAGUCGCUGCUGCUGGCGCGCACUCGCCGGGUUUUUCCUCCCACGGCCUCGAGAUGGUCGUGAAUGUGGCACGGAGGAGCCGGGCCUUCCAACCCGGUGGGCCCGAGCUCCGAAAGGCCCCCUCGGCAGUGAGAGGGGCGGGAGCCCGCGGGGGCCGCGCCCUUCUCUCGCUUCGGACUGCGCAACGCUGCGCUCUGUGCUGACAGAUGAAGACUCUUAAGAUGACAGAAGGUGAUUUUUCUGGUGAUCGAGGAGUUCCGGGGUCAUGACAGUGAUGAAAUGCAGGGGACCUGGUAGGUUUCUUUUGGAGACUGACUGGGGGCUGCCUGGUGGGACAGAACAGCAUGUUUCCAAGGGCUGUGGCUGGUCAUAGCCAUGGGAUCUCCAACUGCAUGCAAGAGCAACCUGGAAAGACUUUGACAGCGCAGGUUGCCCCCAAGUUUCCUGGCAGUGUGUGAUACUGAGGAGGUGAGCUUGUUUCUGGAGCUGUGCUUUAAGAUUCAUGUUACAUGUAAAGCUGUCCUCAUUUGUGACUAUGGACCUAUGGAGUUGGGACAAUCUCUAUGGGAAGCAGAAGGCAAGGACCCCAGUCAUUUUAGGUAGAAACAACAGCAUGCUAAUGCAAAAAAUUAUGCAGUGUGCUACUGAACUUCAGAGGUGAUCAAUAAAAGAAUAAAAAGACUAAUAAAA